CUCAGGGCAGGACAGGGCAGGGGCAGAGGCAGGACAGGGACGGUGCAGCCUCCGCUGCUGCCCUCUCGGGGAGCCUGGCUCCCACCCUCACCCAGCCACUGCUCCUGGGCACAGAGCUGAAGGGGAACUGGAGGCUGCGGCGUUCCUCUCUCCGUCCCCCUCUCUCUGGUGACUCAUGUGAUAACGAACCGACCUUUUGGAGACAUUCUGUGCCCUCAACAAAAGCGGCCCCUGUCUGGAAACCCCCCCGAGGAGACUGACUUCCUCCCCUGCUGCCUGGGCUGCGGUAGCUCUUCCGGCACCUGCUCUUCAGGCACCUGCCCUGUGCUGGCCCCUCCUGCAACAAUCGGGAGCCCUCACCUCAGUCGGCGCUGCAGAACCAGCCCAGGAGAGCAGCUGGCCUGUCAUCUGCUGAGGAGCGGAGGCGUGCGGGGAUCCGGAGGGGAAGGGGGUCUGGAGUGCUCCGGGGGAGACCCUCAGGGACUGCCCUGCUGCUGGCAGCGCCUGGGCCCACGGCUGAUGGAGGCGUCUCCUGGCCCCCAGGGCUGUGCCCAGGACUGCAAUGGCCUCCCACACUACCUCACUACCCUGGUCCAGGCUCACUGACAGAUGAGGAAACUGAGGCAGGGGCCCUGGUCUCACGGCCAUUGGUGCAGAGCUGGGAUCCACGACCAGGUGGGCUCUUUGUUAUUACUUCCUCCAAGGACAAGCCCAGGUUCUCCAGGGUGUGGGGUCCACGUGUGGCCACAGCGGGCCUUAGAGACAGACAGGCCUGGGUAGGGGGAGGGGUGGGUGGGCAAGGCCUUAGAGACAGGCCUGGCGGGGGAGGGGCCGGGCCUGUGCACUGGCAGUGGUGGCACCACGGGCCCUUGGGGACACCAAGUGAGCUCUUUAAAGUGGCUAAAGUGGUAAACCUUGUGUUUUGUAUAGAUUCUACCAAUUAAAAAAAGGAAAUGUGGGCCGGGCGUGGUGGCUCAUGCCUGUGAUCCCAGCACUUUGGGAGGCCGAGGCAGGUGGAUCACCCAAGGUCAGGAGUUCAAGAGCAGCCUGGCCAACAGGGUGAAAUCCCAUCUCUCCUAAAAAAACAAAACAAAACAAAACAAAACAAAAACAGAAUUAGCCGGGCAUGGUGGUGGGCACCUGUAGUCCCAGCUACUGGGGAGGCUGAGGCAGAAGAAUCACAUAAACCCAGGAGGCGGAGGUUCCAACGAACUAGGAUCGCACCACUGCACUCCAGCCUGGACAACAAAGUGAGACUCUGUCUCAAAAAAAAAAAAAAAAAGAAAAAAAAAAGGAAAAGAGAAAGAAAAAGAAAAAAAAGUGACAAUUCACAUAGACCCCUGAAAACCUCUGGGCUUAGGGACAGCAAGAGCCUUCCUGGGGCCUCCUGGACCAUGUCGGGGCCUCCGAGGCCUCUGGGACGCCAUCCCUGCUCAGCUUCCUCGCUCUCCUUUUGCCCGAGAACAAGCUCUGUUCUGGCCACGGCGUUGUCUACACAACACAGCUAACUGCUUUGCCAUCAGCCCUCAUACAGAUUUAAAACACACACACACACACACACACACACACACACACACACACACACACAAAAGAUAAGGUUAUGGGCUGCACUGCGUCCCCCAAAUUCACAGAGUGAAGUCCCGACUUCAGGAUCCGCCUGUAUUCAGACACAGGGUCUUUACAGAGGCGACAAAGGUGAAACAAGGUUACCAGGGUGGGCUCUGACCUGACCUACCGGCGUCCUUAAAAGAGGAGGACACAGACACGCAGGAGGGGCGGCCACGCAAGGACACAGGGAGGUGGUGCCGCCUGCCUGCAAGGAGAGGCUUCGUAACAGCCACGCCGCACCUCAACCCGGGACGCCCCCAGGACUGGAGAGAACCCACAUCUGCUGUGGGAGCACCUGGCCACGGUGUGUGCGAGGCGGCCCCGGCAAACUCACGUAGACAGGACCCAGCUCCCCCAGGCCAUCUUUCAAUGGGAGAGGGUGACCCAGUGUUUUCCCAAAACCCAGCACGGUCCCCAGGACGCGUUCCCCACCAGGGUGGGCUGGGCCGGAUCACAGCCCAGGCUCCCAGAGACUUCCGGUGCCACAUCAGCUCACAGAGCUUCCUGUUUCAGCCCAGAUCAGAAACACCAUGAGACGCCCAAGGAGGAAUAUUUUAAUACUUCUGCUAUUUGGCCUCACCCAAAACCAGAAAGUGCAGGGAGUCGUGAAAAUGAAGAAAAUGAUCAGAACCUGAGGGACCAGGCCGUGCCAUCCGAAGACAAUCCUGAGAUCUCUCUCCGGGCCCUGCCCUGCCCCUCCCUCUCUGCCCCCAGCAGGAGCCCCCUUUUCCCCUGGGGCCAAGAACCCAGGCCACACAGGGUGCAGAAGACCCGCCAGGGAGGCCACAGCAGGGGACAGAAAAGAAGGCCCGUCGCUGGCAUGAGGGGUGGCUUCCAUGUGGGGAAACUGAGUCAGUAGCAAUUCCAGAUUGGAGGUCCUAACCAGGUCAGGUAUGCGGGUGCCGCACCGUCAGCCAAGACCACAGCCCCACCUCCUCAACAGCUGGGCCCACGCCAUCGGGGGGGCGUUCCAAGAGACUUAAAAAAACCAUAACCCAACCCCGAGGAGGUGCCCUCUGAGGUGGGGUGUCCCAUACUAGAGUCAGGGUGACCUGAGGACAGGCCAGGCACACAGGGCCACCCUGAGUAAAGACGGGGGACCCAGGAGGGCCUGGGACUAGCCAGGAUGGUGGCUGCUGUGUUGAGAGGGCAUCUGGGACCCCAACCCGCAGCCCCUCGUCUCCUUAUGAGCCAUGGGGCCUCAGGAAAUGCACCCCAUUUCGUGCCUCAGUUUCCCUCCUGGGCUGAACUGUGUCCCCCACAGCCAUGUGUUGAGGUCCUGACCCCAGACCUGUGAGUGUGACCUUAUUUGGAGGCAGGGUCUGCACAGAGGUAACGAGGUUAAAGCAAGGUCAGCUGGGUGGGCCCUGACCCACCCAGACACACAGAGAGAGAACAGGCCACAUGACACGGGGCCGAGGCCGUGGCAGUGCUUCCGCCAGCCAAGAAGCACGGAAGACCUCAGGCCACAAAGCCAGGAGCGGCCUGGGACAGACCCCACUCACGGCCUCGGGGGCCAGCCCUGCUCACACCUUGACCUUGGACUUCUGGCACCAUAACUGUGGGAGGGUGAAUCUCUGGUGGUUUGGGGGCGUGGGGUGAAUCUCUGCUGGUUUGGGGGCGUGGGGUGAAUCUCUGCUGGUUUGGGGGCGUG
rnacentral:lncRNA from 1 species